rnacentral:lncRNA from 1 species
ACAAUAGAAUCCCAAAAGCGUGGGUUGCCACAUGCACACAUACUGCUUUGGUUGGAUGGUGCAUCAAGAAUACCAACAAUCCAGGAAAUUGACGCAAUAAUCUCCGCCGAAUUUCCACAAAAAGAGAUCGACCAACAUGGAUUUGAGCUUGUGGAAAGACACAUGAUGCACGGUCCAUGUGGCUUGGAUAGACCAAAAUCACCCUGCAUGAAAAACAGGGAAUGUUCAAAGAAAUAUCCAAGACAAUUGACUCAACAUACAUCGAUAGACAAAUCUGGUUACAUAAUAUACCGUCGACGUCAAAAUGAAAAUAACUUUGUUAUCAAGAGAGGAACAAGAUUGGAUAAUCGCUUUGUUAUUCCACACAACUUGGCUAUCUUAAAAAAAUACCAAGCUCACAUAAAUGUGGAGUGGUGCAACAGAACAAAUGCUGUUAAAUACCUUUUCAAAUAUAUUACAAAGAGAGUUGAUAAAGCAACCAUUGUGAUAGAAAAAGGUACCGAUGCCUUAGAGAAAACUCAACAUAAUGGAUCAACAAAGAGACCAAGAGAUGAGAUACAAAAAUACCUUGACUGCCGAUACUUAUCUGCUUGUGAAGCCAUGUGGAGGAUAUUUGGAUAUCACAUACACCACCGGAACGGAAACCUGCAGUUCAGAAACUUAUAAUUCAUCUACCUGGAGAGCAAAACAUAACAUAUAGAGCUACAGAUGAUCUCAGUCGAGUCCUAGCUAGGGAAGAUAUUGAGAGGACAAUGUUAACAGCGUGGAUGGAAAAAAAACGAAGAGUC